rnacentral:lncRNA from 1 species
UCACAGACCUUUUGUUUUUCAGGCUAUUCUCAUAGCACUUCUUCGCUUCUUUCUGGUCGGAUUUGAUGGUGAUCACCACCCCCUCCAUAGACGGCAACUUCACCUUCAUGUGCCGGGUCGACGGUAUAGCGCCUAUUCUGUUGAGCGUGGGUCUUCCCAGCAGAAUGUUGUAUGCUGAAGGGGCGUUUACGACAAGGUAUUUGAUUUUCUCUGUUCUCGAACCCGCCUCAUCUGUAAACGUAGUCCUCAACUCGAUGUACCCCCUGACCUCCACCUGGUCACCAGCGAAACCAUACAAACACCCUCCAUAGGGC